GUUGGAUAAAGUUGUACAAGUUUUUCCUUCGUGAAUCCUGGGGAAGAUUCAUC
rnacentral:rRNA from 1 species